rnacentral:rRNA from 1 species
AUUGAACGCUGGCGGCAGGCCUAACACAUGCAAGUCGAGCGAGCGGCGGACGGGUGAGUAAUGUCUGGGAAACUGCCUGAUGGAGGGGGAUAACUACUGUAGACGGUAGCUAAUACCGCAUAUCCUCACAUAUGCCCAGAUGGGGUUAGCUGUUAGGUGGGGUAACGGCGCACACAGGCGACGAGCCCUAGCUGGUCUGAGAGGAUGACCAGCCACACGGGAACUGAGACACGGUCCAGACUCCUACGGGAGGCAGCAGUGGGGAAUAUUGCACAAUGGGCGCAAGCCUGAUGCAGCCAUGCCGCGUGUGUGAAGAAGGCCUUCGGGUUGUAAAGCACUUUCAGCGGGGAGGCGUUACCCGCAGAAGAAGCACCGGCUAACUCCGUGCCAGCAGCCGCGGUAAUAC